CAGCCCCGGCAGGUUUAUCUGGGGGGGUUCAGGGGUUAUUUUGGGGGGGGUUCAGGGGUUCAGGGUUAAUAGGGGGAGCUCAGGGGUUACUGGGGGGGGUCUCCAGGGGCUCCCGGGGUAAUUUGGGGAGGGGUCUCACCCCAGGCAGCCGCAGGCCGCCGCCGACAGCCCCGGCAGGCGCUGCCAGCGCAGCCCCGAGUCCAGGAAGGCGGCGUCCUCGUAGCGGGUGGGGCGGCAGCAGGGCCCCCCCCCCGGCGCCCCCUCCCCCAGCAGCGCCGCCAGGACCCGCCCGUGCAGGGUGGGGGGCGCGGGGCAGCGCCCCCCGCAGUAGCGGAACACGAGGGUCUCGGGGGAGGGGUACCCCAGCCCCAGCGCCCCCACCCCCACCCGCAGGCUG
rnacentral:lncRNA from 1 species